ensembl:lncRNA
AUGGACACGUCACCUUUUGCCUCCUCUGCUCAAGAUGCUGAGGGCGGCAGGUCUCCUUGGGCUGACGGCCCAUCCCGAGCUGCAAGAGCCCGAGAGCGCUCUUUCUGCCAGGGCAAGGAGCUGACAGCACAGCGGCAAAAAGAGCUGCCCAUCGCUGCCACCUUCCUGCUUGUUCCCCCCCCCCCGGGGACUCCCCCACUCCCACUCCAAGGCUCCUGCCUGAAGCAGCCCCUUGAUCACCAGACGCUUUGGAUCUUGCAGCUGUUUCGGCACAAAAUGCUAGGAAGCUUCCUUCCCCAGGGGCCUCAAUCUGGGCCGCUCACGGUCUUCCAUGCCUUGCGUGAGCCCUCGCCAGAAGACACGGAGGUUUGGGAAGGCAGGAGAGGGCAGGAACGGGCUCUUCUUCCUCUUCCCCUUUGCCCCAGCAACUGCAGGAGCCCCUGCAACUCUCCACGGAAAAAUAUCUUCAGCCACAAGGACAAGGUCCACCUGCUUCCAAGCUCCCGCUCUCUGUCCUCCCUCUCUUCCCCUUCAGCUGCUCAGGAGUGCAGGAGAACAAGCUGGCUGGCUGGCUGGGCUGAUCUGUGUCGGCUGUCGACGCUGCCCGCCAGCAGCCCUCCCAAGCAAGUCCUGGCGGUGCCACUCGACCAGCCCCUUUUCUUCAGCCGAGUGAGUGUGCUCCUCCGGGGAGUCCUGAAACAGAAGAGGAAACAGGGAAGCCAAUCAGGAGCGGACAGGCACGUACAGAGAGGUGCCCGGCACACCCCCAGCAAGAACCGAACUCUGCUUUCCGCCUUGCUCGGGGCUGGUUCUGCCUGGCCGUAAUCCAGGAUUAACCUACAAUCCCUGUUUAAGCAAAUUACUUGGAGGUUGGGUAGCAGCAGCACCAGCAGCAACUCCAAGCCUCUCUCUCUCUUGCUCUCUGUCCUCCCUCCCUCCCAAGGAAGCCUUCAGAACUCACCAACUUUGCAGACCCAACCUCCUGCUUCACGAGCCCGCAGAGGAAUGCUCACAGGAAACCAGUGCAACCGAACACACGCCACUGCGGCGGGCGGGCUUGCCGUUCGGCAGGAGGAGAGGAUCAAGUUUAACACACACACACCAUGCCCCUGUAGCCCAUUUAGAAAGGUCUGUUGCACCGGAGGGCCACCCCCCCUAACCUCCCCCCCCUCACCCAAUCCCCCAGAUAGCCCUCAAGGAACAAAGGCCACUGGGAGAAAUCCAGGAGAGACCGGCAGGCGGGCUGGGCUGGGCUGCUGGCUGACACCUGGGCAAUGGUACAGGCAGAGACACCAUGCCUGCCGGGGAGAGAAAAGGAAGCCAGCCCCGGCCCAGCCUGCCCUUUGCCUCCCGGGGCAGGAGGGCUGCCCCCCUGCCCCUUCAGAUAAGGCUCACACCUGACCCGGGCUUUGAACUCUCCUCCAGUGGCCUCUCACGACAAAGGCAGCCUGGAGGGCUAGGUGCCACAAAACACAGGGGCAUUGUUGCUACAACAGGCGUGUGCGCGUGGACGGACACACACACACACUCCCUCCUGCCCCUGUGUGGGUUUGUUGCUCUCAAUACCAAAAACAGCAACUCCGCACCUGUAAAGGACAAAAUCUCUGCUCACAUCAUGACUCUCUGAAGCCAGGGACAACGGGCUCCCGUUUCACAGGGAAGGGAGGAAUCCCGGUCGAGAGGCAGCCUGUGAUUCCACCAGAGCCACAGAUCUAGUCACUGGCCAGUAAGAUUUCAUUCAUUCAUUCAUUCAUAAUAUUUUUUUACCCAGCCUUUCUCCUUAAAAAGAACCCAAGGCAGUUUACAUAAUGAAAAGACAACAUUUGAAGCUAAAAACAGUGAGUAUACAAAUACAGUACUAAAAAAGGAUCAAAUACCACUCUAAGAAACAGUAAAAAGCAACACCGAAAAUACAUACAAAGCAGUCAUGCAUAGCAAUCUACUGUAUCUAAAAAUCACACACAGGUAAAUGCUUGCUAAAGCAAACCCUGCCUGAAGAGAAAGGUUGUCUUCGCCUGCUUGCAGAAGGGGCCAGGUCAGCCUCCAGUGGGAGGGAGUUCCAAAGUCUGGGAACGGUGUCAGAGAAGGCUUUAUAGUUUAGAAUUUAGCUGUUUGAAUUGGGCCUGAAAAUGGAUCGACAACCCAUGGAGCUGCAAUACGUGAUCCCGGUGACUAUGGAGUCCCAGUUAACAAUCUGGCUGCAGCAUUUUGAACCUGCUGAAAUUUCCGAACACUAUCCAGAGGCAGCCCUAGGUAAAGUGCAUUACAGUAAACCAGUUGGGAUGUCACUAAGGCCUGUGUCACUAUGGCCAGAUCAGACCUCUCCAGGAACAGAUGCAUCUGGCGCACUCAUUGUAAUUGUGCAAAUUUACUCCCAGCCACUGCUGAAAGACUGCCAUCUAUUUCCUACACUGGCCCAGCAUGAAAGAAUUGGGUACCAAAGCAUGCAACUGCCAUUUGUGACUAUUCUGCAUUACUGCUUUUUCCACCAGUCUGAGGAGCAAUUACUGUAACUAGCCUGCCAUUCACCUAAACGAGACCCAGGUAGCUUCUCUUGAUGCCGCUAGCUGGUAGCCAAGCAGGCAGGCCCCCGGCUUCCUCCCUAGGAGAAGGCGGUGCGGCGUGCAAGCAAGACAUGAGAGCCAGGAAGGCUCUCAGGUCAGGCUGCCUGUGAGCUUCUGCCACUAUUCUCUGUAUUAGUGGAAGAGCAGAGCGCUGGGCGACCUAAAAUGGCCUAUGAGUCGCUCAGGUGGAAGACGCCUCCCACUCAAGGAACCACCCAUGCGUUAGGCUCUGGCUGCUGCAGGAUUGGAACCAGCUGGCCUACCUGGAAGGGACUCUCCAGAAGCCUAACCCCCUCCCAAACCCGAAUAAACUGGGAAUGUCUAAAUGCA